rnacentral:lncRNA from 1 species
UUUCCUCUCUCUCUCUCUCUCUUGCUAACAAUGGUGUUAACUUAUCACUAUAAGUCAAGAUCGAUGGUGAUGCGAUUAUUAUUAUCCUUUGUUUCCAUAUAUCUUGUUUGCUGUUGAUGGAAAUCCUUUCAAGAAGAUGUUUGCUGUUGAAGGACUAUUUAGGCACUUGUUGCUAGACGGUGUUCACAUUAGAGAACAUUAUCCAAAAAAAUGCAUAAUUAAUGAGAAAAAAUUGGGUAGAACUUGACAUAUGUUUCAUAGGUUUUCUUGAAAUGAAAGAUGAAGCGAGGAUAAAGAACAUAAGCCUGUUUGCUUUGUUUUAAGUGCAAUGUGUGGGAGGUGAUUGUACCAAAGUGACCUUGGUUCCCUUGGGCUGAAGCAAUGUUGGGCCAUUUCUUCCAUUUGGGGGCCAUAUUGACUUUAAGUGCUUAGAGGCAACCAAAGAAGCCUUCAAUUUGAUUUAAGUGUUGCAGAAGAGAACUCAGCAGGUCGAUUAGGUAGAAUUCAAUUAUUAUUAUUAUUAUUAUCUUUCAUGUGAUGAUUCAUUACUUUACUGGUUGAUUUUUUUUGUUCAGAAAUUAUUCUGACAUCUCCAAAAUAAAAUUUAGAAAAUUAUAAAAUAAUAUAAGUUGUUAUGCAAUAGUUGGAACCAAAGAUCGUCAACUCGGAAUCAGACCCCGUGCUGGUCGAUCGGCGAUAUGAGUUGGUACGCCCCUCUAUCGGAUCAUAGCGGGACUUGAAUCAACACGAAAACGAGGGAUGAAUCGGGGAGGGAGAGAGAGGGGGGAGGGAGGGAGGGAGGGUAGGAAAAAGAGGUUGGUGGAGACAUCGACAAUGGGUGCCGGAGGGUCGUCAAGGCCUCCCGGGUUUAGUGGCCUUCUAUGAGAGAAAAUGCGAGGAGAGAGAGAUAGAGAGGGGGGAAGGGAGAGAAAAAGAGAGAGUGGAAGGUGGAGGGACGCUGUCGGAGGGAUGUCGGGUGGCUAUCGUGUCUGUCGGAUGGCCCAAAAUUGUCUCACCACAGUCGUGGCUUCGAAGUAGGGGUUGGCCCCUAUUUCGUCAUGUUUUAUAAAAAAUACGAUUCACAGUGAAAUCGGCAAUGUGUUUUUUAGAAAACACGAUAGAAACAGAAACAAACUCCUGUUUCGAAUCCAUGGCUGUCGUGGGGUAAUUUUGGACCAUCCGGCGGCUACUGAUAGCCCUUCGACGGCCUCUGAUUGCCUUCUACUCCGUCCUCUUCUCUCCCUUCUCUCUUCUCUCUAUCUCUCUCUUCUUGCAUCUCGUGGAGGAUUGGAAGCUCCAGAGGCCUUGGCGGCCCUCCGACAACCUCGGCAGGCCACCACCGGUCCUUUCCCUUUCCUUCUCUCCUCUCCUCUCUCUCUCUCUCUCUCUUUCUCUCUUUCUGUCUUUCUUUCUCCCUUGCUCUGUCUUCGCCGACGUUCCAAAUCAAACGUCCGAACCGUAUUGGAUAGCCACCGGUACAACUCGGCAUGUCUCGAACUGUCCGAUUCAGAGUGGUUCGGUGAACCCUAGUUGGAAGUAAUUGUUAAUUCUAACUGAUCGGAUCCUUCUCCAUGGUUGAAGGAGGACUUGAUUUUCUUUUAUAUGCAUCCAACACAAUCAUAUGAAGUUGAUUAAAAAUGGUUGGUUCCUUCUUCCAUAGUUGAAGGAAGACUUGAUUUACUUUUAUAUGCAUCCAGCAUAAGCAAUAUGUAGGUAUUCUGAUCAAGUUAGAGUUAUGAUGCCAAGGGUCUACUUUUUCUGAUAAAAAACUAUAUAUGUGAUUGCUUUGUUGCUUCAAAGAGAAUGAUAACUUUAUGAAAUACGUGACAUAAUUGUCUUGGACUAGUUAAGGGAGAUGUGGUAAAGCUUUAUCUGCUGAGAAGCUUAUUAUUUGGACAAUAAAUCCCAAGUCACCUGCCCUGCAAGGGGAGUUCUUCAAUUGACCUGCUUAUAGAUACAAAAGCACAUAUAUCAGCAUCUAUCAUGUAGCCUUUUCGAAAGGUUUGGGCAAACUUGUCUAUUUAAAAUCUAUUGUGCACAGCAGGUACACUCAUUACAAAAGUGAGGGAUUCUCUCUCUGUCUCUCUCUCUCUCUCUCUCUCUCCUCCUCCCCUCCCCUCCCACCGUGUGCAAAUCACCUGCCCAAUAAGGGGACUUCUUCAAACCAACCUGCUUAUAGAUACAAAAGUACAUAUAUCUGCAUCUAUCACAUAGAGUUUAUGAAGGUUUGGGCAAAUUUGUCCAUUUAAAAUCUAUUGUGCACAGCUGGGCGCAACAGGUGCUCAUGACAAAAGUGAGGGAUUCUCUGAUCUCUCUCUCCCCACGUGCGUGCGCUCUUGCAUCUCUCUCUCUCUCUCCCCAUGUGCAUGUGCUCUUCCAUCUCUCUCUCUCUCUCUACAUACAUACAUACACACAGACACACACACACACACACACACACACACACACACACACAC